AUCUCGGUGAAAGCUGGGUGUUUGAUCAGUGAAGUGAGCUCUUCAUCUGCCUCGGACGUGCUCUUCACGCCUUGGAAGGUUUAAAACUAAGGUCAUCCAGUGGCUCUGGAAGUUACCCUCUCCUUAAAACGAGAAUGAGAAGAAAUAUAAAUAAUAACUUUUUAAAAAGGAGAAGAAGAAAAGGAACAAAAAAUAAAUAUGAGAACUAUGUGGGGGCCUGAAUAACUUUGUAAGAUUCUUCUUCCCCCAAAUCAAAGCAUGACCACUUUAUAGGAAUCAUGGUAGAAUUGGCUUUAUGCAUAGUGUUUUUUUUAAGCCAUUUAACACAAUAUCAGUCUUAGAAUCCUGAAUGUUUUCGUGUUGAUUUUAUGUAUCUGGACCUUUGUGUUAUAUAGUGAUGAUGAUAAACACCAUAAACCUGGCUGGAGGGUGGGAUUGAGUUAUACUGUGGGACACCCAACUGAUGUUGCAGAAUUGCUUAGUAUGGGAGAAACACCCACAUGUUUGGUGAUGAGAAGUGAGGUAUUGGAAGCGAGUAAUAGGAGAGAAAAAUAUAAGAAGAGUUUUCCCUUUAUAAGAUGAUAAGCUCAGAUCUUCAAAAACGAUUUCCCAGGACCUCAGUAGACAGAGUCAAAGACCAUGCACAGACUGAGUCGCUAGAAUUAGCCCAGCAGAGGGAAGCUCCCUGGCAGGAAGUUUCAUCUGUGUUGUUCUCUGGUGUAUCUCCAGCACCUAGAACGGAACCUGGCACACAGAAGACUUGGAAUGAGUAAUUGAUAAAUGCGGCUCAGACAGGAAGCCAUUUUCAUAGAAUCACAGAUUCUGCAUAAGGAUAAUUGUGAAACUAAAUGUAUGUGGCAGGCAGUGCUCUCUCUGUUUCUUUCCUCGUAUUCAUUCAUUCACAGCAGCAGUCCUGUGAGAUGGAGGUGUUGCUCUCUGGGCUUGACAGAUAGGCAGCUAAUUGAUUUGCCUGCAAACCUAGUAAGUGUCCAAGGCAGGAUUCAGGCCAGGAUCUCAAAUGCCAGGCCUGCACUCUGGAUCCCAAGGCGGGGGCUGCUGCCCUUUUUUUAAAAAAAUCUUUUUAUUUCAGAGAGUAGGGAGAGAAAAAUAGAAACAUCAAUGAGAGGGUAUCAUUGAUUAGCUGCCUCCUGGAGCCCGCAACCUGGGCAUGUUCCCUGACUGCGAAUUGAACUGUGACCUCCUGGUUCAGAGAUCGAUGCUCAACCACUGAGCCACGCCAGCCCUUAUGCCUUUCACUGCACCCAGGCGCCUGGAGCACUCAGGGCUUGAGAUGAGGGGACUGUGGGCGAUGGAUCUUUUAUUCUCUACCAUGUUUUUGUUACGGUUGUGCAUUAUUGUUAUUAUCAAACCAUUUAAAGCUACUUGUUUGGAUUCUGAAAUUUUUAAAUUUGAAAUAAAUUAUUUGGGAAAGCUUUGCAGGGAACUUUAGAAGAAAAAAGAAAAACUGCCAGUAUAUGGAAGUUGUUUUCUAACCUAAAUAUUUUCCUACUUUAGCUUUCUGUUUCCUAGAAAUGUACGUUCAGUGUGAUCACCAAAAUAGAACUCUGCAGUACUCUAAAUGUGUAAGAAUGUGCAAAAAUUAAAUGGGGAAAUUCUGUAAGUGCCCUGCGAAGGCCAAGCGGGUAAUAAAAGCAGCUGGUUCAGACAGAUGUCUCAUCUUAU